CGCGGCCCGGCGGAAGGACACGCGCUCCGGUCCCGGGAGGUGGCCUUGGCCCCUAGGCGUCGACCCCACGGUUCCUGCGCCUCCGGGCGCCCCCACCCCACCCUCCCGGCAUGGAGUCCGCGGGGAGCGCCCGGGACGGGGUCCCCAGGAUUGAUCCGUACGGGUUUGAAAGGCCCGAAGACUUCGAUUAUGCAGCUUAUGAAGAGUUUUUUUCCACCUACCUGGUGAUACUCACUAGAAGAGCCAUAAAAUGGUCUAAACUUCUGAAGGGGAGUAGUCGUGUUCAGAGGAGUGGGACAGUGUGUCCCGUCCUUCCCUUUGAACGA